AGUGAACGCUGGCGGUAGGCCUAACACAUGCAAGUCGAACGGCAGCACAGUAAGAGCUUGCUCUUACGGGUGGCGAGUGGCGGACGGGUGAGGAAUACAUCGGAAUCUACUUUUUCGUGGGGGAUAACGUAGGGAAACUUACGCUAAUACCGCAUACGACCUACGGGUGAAAGCCGGGGAUCUUCGGACCUUGCGCGAUUGAAUGAGCCGAUGUCGGAUUAGCUAGUUGGCGGGGUAAAGGCCCACCAAGGCGACGAUCCGUAGCUGGUCUGAGAGGAUGAUCAGCCACACUGUAACUGAGACACGGUCCAGACUCCUACGGGAGGCAGCAGUGGGGAAUAUUGGACAAUGGGCGCAAGCCUGAUCCAGCCAUACCGCGUGGGUGAAGAAGGCCUUCGGGUUGUAGAGCCCUUUUGUUGGGAAAGAAAAGCAGCAGGUUAAUACCCCGCUGUUCUGACGGUACCCAAAGAAUAAGCACCGGCUAACUUCGUG
rnacentral:rRNA from 1 species